rnacentral:rRNA from 1 species
UACGGAGGGUGCGAGCGUUGUCCGGAAUCAUUGGGCGUAAAGGGCGCGUAGGUGGCCCGGUCAGUCAGUGGUGAAAGCGCGGGGCUCAACUCCGCGUCGGCCAUUGAUACUGCUGGGCUUGAGCACUGUAGAGGAUGGCGGAAUUCCUAGUGUAGUGGUGAAAUACGUAGAUAUUAGGAAGAACACCGGUGGCGAAGGCGGCCAUCUGGGACUCAACUGACGCUGAGGCGCGAAAGCGUGGGGAUCAAACAGG